CAAGUGUUUGGAUUUCAAAUCUUUCAAUCCAUAUAUCAAAAGAAAGAUCUACGAGUCUAGUUUCCAAUGAAAUCAGUUUUGAACAAAUCAAAGUUUCCAACAAAGACUUAUAGGCAGCUCGGUAUCAAAAGGUCAGAAUCUCAAAAGUUGCACAGAUUCGAACUAAACAAGAGAUAUAUCAAAUGCAAGGCUAGAACAAUUCAAAGUUCCUCAUAUUCAAAUCAAAUGUAGAGAUAAAAUUACAGUAAGGAAAGAUCAAGACACUUGCAAUAGGAAAGAUUAGAAAGCUUGCGAUAGGAAGGAACAGAACACUUGCAAUAGGAAAGAUAAGAACACUUGCACAAGGAAGAUCAUAAUACUUGCAAUAAGAAAAAUUAGAACAAUUACAGAAGAAACGAUCGGGAAACUUGCCUUUCAAAGAUUUUGAUCUGAAGAUCCAAAGAAGGUGUCAGCCCAAAUUCUUCUGCUUUUCCUCUGUGUCCUCUCCCUGUUUCGUUUUCUACAUGUCUUCUCUUUUUCCUCCACAACUGCAGCUCAUGCAGAACAUAGAGGCAUAGUCACCUGCUCUCUCUUACUCUCAUUCCUCCGUUUUCUUUUUCAAACACAACUGUCGCAGUCAUCGUCGCCGCCACUACCACAGUCGUAGCCACGACCUGCGGUCACAACCGCAGCCCCUUCCACUACACUAUUUCC
rnacentral:lncRNA from 1 species